rnacentral:rRNA from 1 species
UGGGGAAUAUUGGACAAUGGGCGAAAGCCUGAUCCAGCCAUGCCGCGUGUGUGAAGAAGGUCUUCGGAUUGUAAAGCACUUUAAGUUGGGAGGAAGGGCAGUAAGCGAAUACCUUGCUGUUUUGACGUUACCGACAGAAUAAGCACCGGCUAACUCUGUGCCAGCAGCCGCGGUAAUACAGAGGGUGCAAGCGUUAAUCGGAAUUACUGGGCGUAAAGCGCGCGUAGGUGGUUCGUUAAGUUGAAUGUGAAAGCCCCGGGCUCAACCUGGGAACUGCAUCCAGGACUGGCGGGCUAGAGUAAGGCAGAGGGUGGUGGAAUUUCCUGUGUAGCGGUGAAAUGCGUAGAUAUAGGAAGGAACACCAGUGGUGAAGGCGACCACCUGGGCUCAUACUGACACUGAGGUGCGAAAGCGUGGGGAGCAAACAGG